CUGGCCCCCCGCGGGCCCGAGUUGUACUUUGGAGAGGACGCUUCUGGCGCGGCGCCGUCCGAGUUCCCUGGAACGGGACGCCGGAGAGGGUGAGAGCCCCGUACGGGCGGCCGCCUAGCCUCUGCGAAGCUCCUUCGACGAGUCGAGUAGUUUGGGAAUGCUGCUCAAAAUGGGAGGUAAAUUUCUUCUAAAGCUAAAUACCGGCCAGAGACCGAUAGCGCACAAGUAGAGUGAUCGAAAGAUGAAAAGCACUUUGAAAAGAGGGUCAAACAGUACGUGAAAUUGUUGAAAGGGAAGCGCCUGUGGCCAGACUUGCGCCCCGCGGACCACCCGGCGCCUCGCGCGCCGGGGCACGCCAGCGGGGCGCAGGCCAGCAUCGGCUCUCUCGGGGGGACAAAGGCCGCGGGAACGUAGCGCCCUCGCGGCGUAUUAUAGCCCGCGGCGCCAUGCCCCCGGGGGGGCCGAGGACCGCGCUCCGGCAAGGAUGCUGGCGUAAUGGCCACCGGCGACCCGUCUUGAAACACGGACCAAGGAGUCAAGCAUUGGGGCGAGUGUCUGGGUGGCAAGCCCGCACGCGGAAUGAAAGUGAACGCAGGUGGGAGCUUCGGCGCACCACCGACCGAUCCUGAUGUCCUCGGAUGGAUUUGAGUAGGAGCCCCGCCGCUUGGACCCGAAAGAUGGUGAACUAUGCCUGUAUAGGGUGAAGCCAGAGGAAACUCUGGUGGAGGCCCGCAGCGGUUCUGACGUGCAAUCGAUCGUC
rnacentral:rRNA from 1 species